AAUCUGCCUCUAGGUCGGGGACAACAAUUGGAAACGAUUGCUAAUACCCGAUGUGCAGCAAUGUGAAAGGUUUAUUGCCUAGAGAUGAGCUCGCGUCUGAUUAGCUAGUAGGUGUGGUAAUGGCGCACCUAGGCGACGAUCAGUAACUGGUCUGAGAGGAUGACCAGUCACACUGGGACUGAGACACGGCCCAGACUCCUACGGGAGGCAGCAGUGGGGAAUUUUCCGCAAUGGGCGAAAGCCUGACGGAGCAAUACCGCGUGAGG
rnacentral:rRNA from 1 species